rnacentral:rRNA from 1 species
GAUGAACGCUGGCGGCGUGCCUAAUACAUGCAAGUCGAGCGAACGGACGAGAAGCUUGCUUCUCUGAUGUUAGCGGCGGACGGGUGAGUAACACGUGGAUAACCUACCUAUAAGACUGGGAUAACUUCGGGAAACCGUAGCUAAUACCGGAUAAUAUUUUGAACCGCAUGGUUCAAAAGUGAAAGACGGUCUUGCUGUCACUUAUAGAUGGAUCCGCGCUGCAUUAGCUAGUUGGUAAGGUAACGGCUUACCAAGGCAACGAUGCAUAGCCGACCUGAGAGGGUGAUCGGCCACACUGGAACUGAGACACGGUCCAGACUCCUACGGGAGGCAGCAGUAGGGAAUCUUCCGCAAUGGGCGAAAGCCUGACGGAGCAACGCCGCGUGAGUGAUGAAGGUCUUCGGAUCGUAAAACUCUGUUAUUAGGGAAGAACAUAUGCGUAAGUAACUGUGCACAUCUUGACGGUACCUAAUCAGAAAGCCACGGCUAACUACGU